rnacentral:rRNA from 1 species
GACAGAGCCUCGAGCGUUAGGCGGAAUCACUGGGCUUAAAGCGUGUGUAGGCGGGCCCGUAAGUGUCUUGUGAAAUCCCACGGCUCAACCGUGGAACUGCUGGGCAUACUGCGGGUCUUGGGCCAACUAGGGGCAGCCGGAACAAGCGGUGGAGCGGUGAAAUGCGUAGAUAUCGCUUGGAACGCCGAAGGUGGAAAACAGGCUGCUGGGGUUGCGCCGGACGCUGAGACACGAA